AGUGGCGAACGGGUGAGUAACACGUGAGGAACUUGCCCCGGAGACCGGGAUAACUCUCCGAAAGGAGAGCUAAUACCGGAUGUCCUCACCGAAUCGCAUGGUUUGGUGAGGAAAUGGAUUCCGCUCCGGGAGAGCCUCGCGGCCUAUCAGCUAGUUGGUGGGGUAACGGCCCACCAAGGCAUCGACGGGUAGCUGGUCUGAGAGGACGAUCAGCCACACUGGGACUGAGACACGGCCCAGACUCCUACGGGAGGCAGCAGUGGGGAAUCUUGCGCAAUGGGCGAAAGCCUGACGCAGCAACGCCGCGUGCGGGAUGACGGCCUUCGGGUUGUAAACCGCUUUCAGUGGGGACGAACCAAGACGGUACCCACAGAAGAAGCCCCGGCCAACUACGUGCCAGCAGCCGCGGUAACACGUAGGGGGCAAGCGUUGUCCGGAUUUAUUGGGCGUAAAGAGCUCGUAGGUGGUUCGAUAAGUCGGGUGUGAAACCUCCAGGCUCAACCUGGAGACGCCACCCGAUACUGUCGUGACUAGAGUCCAGUAGGGGAGCAUGGAAUUCCUGGUGUAGCGGUGAAAUGCGCAGAUAUCAGGAGGAACACCAGUGGCGAAGGCGGUGCUCUGGGCUGGAACUGACACUGAGGAGCGAAAG
rnacentral:rRNA from 1 species